rnacentral:rRNA from 1 species
GUUGAACGCUGGCGGCAGGCCUAACACAUGCAAGUCGAGCGGAUGAAGGGAGCUUGCUCCUGGAUUCAGCGGCGGACGGGUGAGUAAUGCCUAGGAAUCUGCCUGGUAGUGGGGGAUAACGUCCGGAAACGGGCGCUAAUACCGCAUACGUCCUGAGGGAGAAAGUGGGGGAUCUCCGGACCUCACGCUAUCAGAUGAGCCUAGGUCGGAUUAGCUAGUUGGUGGGGUAAAGGCCUACCAAGGCGACGAUCCGUAACUGGUCUGAGAGGAUGAUCAGUCACACUGGAACUGAGACACGGUCCAGACUCCUACGGGAGGCAGCAGUGGGGAAUAUUGGACAAUGGGCGAAAGCCUGAUCCAGCCAUGCCGCGUGUGUGAAGAAGGUCUUCGGAUUGUAAAGCACUUUAAGUUGGGAGGAAGGCAGUAAGUUAAUACCUUGCUGUUUUGACGUUACCAACAGAAUAAGCACCGGCUAACUUCGUG